rnacentral:rRNA from 1 species
GAUGAACGCUGGCGGCGUGCCUAAUACAUGCAAGUCGAGCGAACAGAUGAGGAGCUUGCUCCUCUGACGUUAGCGGCGGACGGGUGAGUAACACGUGGAUAACCUACCUAUAAGACUGGGAUAACUUCGGGAAACCGGCGCUAAUACCGGAUAAUAUAUUGAACCGCAUGGUUCAAUAGUGAAAGACGGUUUUGCUGUCACUUAUAGAUGGAUCCGCGCCGCAUUAGCUAGUUGGUAAGGUAACGGCUUACCAAGGCAACGAUGCGUAGCCGAACUGAGAGGGUGAUCGGCCACACUGGAACUGAGACACGGUCCAGACUCCUACGGGAGGCAGCAGUAGGGAAUGUUCCGCAAUGGGCGAAAGCCUGACGGAGCAACGCCGCGUGAGUGAUGAAGGUCUUCGGAUCGUAAAACUCUGUUAUUAGGGAAGAACAAAUGUGUAAGUAACUAUGCACGUCUUGACGGUACCUAAUCAGAAAGCCACGGCUAACUACGUG